rnacentral:lncRNA from 14 species
GUAAAGGACUUCUUUGGUCCAUGCAGUCAGGCAGAAGACUUGACCCCAAACUUGAGUCCUCUGCACAUGGUCCCCUGCCUGUUCUAUCCCACGUCUCUUAAGCCAACCCAGCCUUCAGCACCAGGCACAGCCCACUGCAGUUGUGAGAUGUGUUUCCUGGAAGGAUUUCAAAGCCACAACCAGCAGUCUGAUCUGCAGUGGGCAUGAAGAGAAGCUAAGCCAAGAGCUGCUGGAGAGCGAAAGGAAAGACUGGGGGAACCCUUUACCCUACAGCACAUCCUCUGCAGAGCCUGCAGCCCUUCAAGGGACUGAUUGCUCUUACGGGAGGUGCGAAGGAGCCAGGCGAGUGGAGGAGCUCUGGGAUGUGCUCUGCUGCGGCUCCGGCGGGUGGCAGCACCCAAACGGCUUCUCCAGGUGACUUAACUUGGGUGUAGGAAGGCAAAGGGACCUUCCCUGCUCUGCUGGGCCUUGGGCAGGGGAGAUGCGAGCAGAGAUGGGGAUGGAUUUGCAGGGCUGGGUUUCCAGUGGGGCUCAGUGUUUCCCUACUGUGGUCUCCAGUAACUCAGACCGAGAUGGGGCUUGCUGAGCUUUAAGCCACUUCUGCAGCUUCUCAGACCAGAGCUGUCCUGCCUGGUAUGAUUUAUUCCAUGGAGUAUUGUCCUUUGGAAGCAAAAGGGUGCUUUUGAUUCCCCUUGGCCUGGGGAAGGUCAGUGGCAGCUGGAUGUUUGCAGACCACAAGGCCAUCAGGAGAAACACCUUCUGUUCCGCUGGCUGGAAGGGUUGAAGUCCAGGGAUAGUGCUGGGAUCAACCUGGGAUCACAAACACAGCCCCGGGCAUUCACCUGCAGCGGGUCCGGAGCC